rnacentral:rRNA from 1 species
GGACACACGCUAGCGGCGUACUUAACGAAUGCGAGUCGAGCGACGAAAGGGAACUUCGGUUCCCCUGAGAGCGGCGAACGGGUGAGUAACACGUAGGUGACCUGCCCCGGAGCCGGGGAUAGCCCGCGGAGACGUGGGGUAAUACCCGGUACGCUCAUCGGCUUAGACGCCGAUGAGGAAAGGAGCGAUCCGCUCUGGGAUGGGCCUGCGGCCCAUUAGCUAGUUGGUGGGGUAACGGCCUACCAAGGCGACGAUGGGUAGCUGGUCUGAGAGGAUGUCCAGCCACACUGGGACUGAGACAUGGUCCAGACUCCUACGGGAGUUAGCAUCGGGGGAUAUUGCGCAAUGGGCGAAAGCCCGACGCAGUGACGCCGCGUGCAGGAUGAAGGCCCUAGGGUCGUAAACUGCUGUCGGGUGGGAUGAACGUUGAGGGUAAUGCCUUGACUUGACAGUACCACCCAAGAAAGCCCCAGCUAACUACGUGCCAGCAGCUGCGGUAAUACGUAGGGGGCGAGCGUUGUCCGGAAUCACUGGGCGUAAAGGGCGUCUAGGCGGCUUAGUAAGCGGAAUGUGAAAGCCCAGGGCUCAACCCUGGAAAGCCGUUCCGAACUACUAGGCUUGAGUUCGGGAGAGGGCAGUGGAAUUCCCGGUGUAGCGGUGAAAUGUUUAGAUAUCGGGAGGAACACCAGUGGCGAAGGCGGCUGCCUGGACCGAUACUGACGCUGAAGCGCGAAAGCCAGGGUAGCGAACGGGAUUAGAUACCCCGGUAGUCCUGGCCGUAAACUAUGAACACUAGGUGUUGGGGGCAUCAACCCUUCCAGUGCCGAAGCUAACGCAUUAAGUGUCCCGCCUGGGGAGUACGACCGCAAGGUUG